UUCGCCCUUUUCCGGUUGAUCCUGCCGGACCCCACUGCUAUCGGGAUAGGACUAAGACAUGCUAGUCGAGCGUUUCCAAGCUAUGAUGGAAGCGCGGCGUACAGCUCAGUAACACGUGGCUAACCUGCCCUUGGGACGGAACCAACCCUGGGAAACUGGGAUUAAUGUCCGAUAGGCGAAGAUUCCUGGAAUGGAUCUUUACUUAAAAGGUGCUUUGAUCAUGCUUCCUAGCGCUGCCCAAGGAUGGGGCCGCGGCCGAUCAGGUUGUUGGUGAGGUAACGGCUCACCAAGCCGUUGACCGGUACGGGCCGUGAGAGCGGGAGCCUGGAGAUGGGCACUGAGACAAGGGCCCAGGUCCUACGGGGCGCAGCAGUCACGAAACCUCCGCAAUGCACGAAAGUGUGACGGGGU
rnacentral:rRNA from 1 species